rnacentral:rRNA from 1 species
AAAUUAACAUUAUAACGGCGUAAAGGGUGGUAACAUGCUAUCUAAGUAACUAAGAUUAAAAGGCGCCUGAGUCGUCGCAAGCUAAAGGUGCCCAUAAGGCCUCUAUUCAAAGAAAAUCUUAGACAAACGAUUGAUUGAAAUCCACGAAAGCCAGGGCCCAAACUGGGAUUAGAUACCCCACUAUGCCUGGCCCUAAAUCUUGGUACUCGAUCUUACCGGAGUGCCCGCCCGAGAACUACGAGCAUAAACGCUUAAAACUCUAAGGACUUGGCGGUGCUCCAAACCCACCUAGAGGAGCCUGUUCUAUAAUCGAUGAUCCACGAUAUACCUCACCAUUCCUUGCUCAAUAACAGCCUAUAUACCGCCGUCGCCAGCCCACCCUCAUGAAGGUUCAACAGU